GACAGAGGGUGCAAACGUUGUUCGGAAUUACUGGGCGUAAAGCGCGUGUAGGCGGCUAAGUAAGUCGGGCGUGAAAUCCCACGGCUCAACCGUGGAAGUGCACUCGAUACUGCAUAGCUAGAGUCCUGGAGAGGAAGGUGGAAUGCUUGGUGUAGAGGUGAAAUUCGUAGAUAUCAAGCGGAACACCGGUGGCGAAGGCGGCCUUCUGGACAGUGACUGACGCUGAGACGCGAAAGCGUGGGGAGCAAACAGG
rnacentral:rRNA from 1 species